UUUCUUCUCUGCUUGCCGUGCUGUUUUCACUUUUCUAUAGUCAAAAGUUGGUUUUGCCCAUUUGAUCCAUGCGUUGAUCAUCGCUGGGUUCUCUCUUUCGACUGUGUUGCUUGCUUUACCUUUCAUUUUCACUUUUCUGUUUCGCAACUCUCUCACAAAUCUCUUAUUCUAUCGCGCUCGAUCUCACCCUCCCUUGCUUUCCAACCGUGCGUUCUUUCUCUCACAACAUACCCACAAAGGAGACCCUGGUUUUUGUUGUCCUAGGAAUUUUAUUUGCGGCUUCCAUAUUCAGAGGAAGAGUUGAUCCUUGGAAACCCAGAUUUCUCAACGUUUUGUCAAAACCCUCAAAUUUGUUUCGACCGUUUUAUCUCGAUCACACAAUCGUCGGCGCAAGACUUUGAGAAUAUUGGUCUUUAUUUUCGUCUCCAACCCUGGAGUUCGGACUGGCUUUCCGAAAAUUUUUUAGUCCAAUUUGGGCACACCAUGCCUUGAAAUCACGACCAGUAAUUGAAUUCUCAAUUGGAUUCUUUUGUUUCAGAGGCUCCCCAACUCAUCUUUUAAUACAAUCGCCUACCUGAAUGGACAGUGUGUUCAUGAAUACGAAACAUGAGACGUGGUUUACUUCAUAUGGCAAAGACAGGUUAGUUUGAUUGUAAUUGCUUUUUUCGUUUGGUUGAAUUCGAAGUUGGUCAGCUUGAGGUUAGUGACAUGUCACAUGUUUACCCUCACACAUAGCUGCUAUCCUCCUGGCUGAUUUCACCUUAUGAGCUCAUCACCUUGAUUAUCCCUUAAAGUUUGGAAGACUUGAUAAUGUCAGAGAGUUUGUAUCAGCUAUUUUUCGAUAAGUAUUGCAUGUCUUUUGGCGUUACAGUUAGUUACUAGGUAUGACUCGACAUUUCCUACUUACGCAUUUGGGAGUGCCUUUUAUGUGCUAAGUUGUUUGGCUGCAACGUACCAAAAUGUGUCCUUAAAGAAGGAUGAGAAUCUUUGUUGAUUAUGAUUCUCAUUUGAAAUAGCUCUUUACGACUUGCAA